rnacentral:rRNA from 1 species
CCUACGGGUGGCAGCAGUGGGGAAUAUUGGACAAUGGGGGCAACCCUGAUCCAGCCAUGCCGCGUGUGUGAAGAAGGCCCUCGGGUUGUAAAGCACUUUCAGUGAGGAAGAACGCCUGGUGGUUAAUACCCAUCAGGAAAGACAUCACUCACAGAAGAAGCACCGGCUAACUCCGUGCCAGCAGCCGCGGUAAUACGGAGGGUGCGAGCGUUAAUCGGAAUUACUGGGCGUAAAGCGCGCGUAGGUGGCUUGAUAAGCCGGUUGUGAAAGCCCCGGGCUCAACCUGGGAACGGCAUCCGGAACUGUCAAUCUAGAGUGCAGGAGAGGAAGGUAGAAUUCCCGGUGUAGCGGUGAAAUGCGUAGAGAUCGGGAGGAAUACCAGUGGCGAAGGCGGCCUUCUGGACUGACACUGACACUGAGGUGCGAAAGCGUGGGUAGCAAACAGGAUUAGAUACCCCUGUAGUC